CGAACGCCACCACCUCCAACUCUGCCCGCCCGGGGCCAGGCCGUCACCGAAGCCACUGCCAGUACCACAGCCGCCAUGUUGAAGUCCUACUUCCCUCCUCCUUCCCCUCACCACUCCGCCCCUUUGGGCGUCGGACGUCAAGGCGCCGCGCUCCACCCUCCCUGGGCCAAUGGGAGGAGUCGACGGUGACGUAACUAAUCUCUCUUCUGCCAAACAACUCUAGUUGCCUGGACCGCUGCAAUUGGAACGAGUGGACCUUGCUGACCCAUAAGGGAGAAAGGGAAGGGAGGUGGGGGGAGUCACUCAGAGGUUAAGGCGUAGAGGCUGGAGAAGCGGCCCAGGAGGGAAUCUGAGAGCCUCGAAUCGUGAAGGGACGCACAAAGACUUACCAAUGAGACCUACUGGGGAAUGAGAAUGUCUGGCUUCUGGUAGCAGAGCUCCAGAGAAGAUACCGUUUGUACUUUGAAGGGUGCAGCGGUUUUAACUCACAAUGAAAGAAAGUGGGCAUUCCAGAAGGGGGAAGUUAAAAUAAGCAAAGAAUAGCAAAUCGUCGAUUCUGGAUUAUUUGCCUACUUAAUUCAACAAAUAAUGGGCAGCCACAGAAGGCUUGUGGAAGACUACUGGAACAAAGCUCUUCAUCAGGAGAAUUUAAAUGGUAGCAGUGAAUAAAAUGGACUGCAGACUACAGGGCAGACUUCUGCACUGAGUAAAAGAUUCACACCUGAAGUAAAGCAGAGACAGCAGGGAUGGAGACCAGGGAAUGAACUGAACCAAGAUUGAAGGGAUUAACUCAACAACACUCCCAUGUAGAGAAUGGGAGGGAGAAUAAAUCAUGGGAGAAUAAAUCAUAAGAAAAAGCAA